rnacentral:snRNA from 1 species
AUAUACAUACAUAAUACAUAAAAUUGGAACGAUACAGAGAAGAUUAUCAUGGCCCCUGUGCAAGGAUGACACGCAAAUUCGUGAAGCGUUCCACAUUAAA